GUGAGGCGGUUUAUGCAGCUGCCAUAAUUUGUUUGUAGAAAGUGGUAGUUUUUUGGUGAUUUAGGAGAUUUUAAACGCCAUUACUUGCUCCUGCUUCACUGGUAAAAAUCCUAUUCUAUUUCACUAAUAAAGGCUAUGCUAUUCAAUCGAACCUCCAUCACAAUGUGAGAACCAAGAAGAAACUCCAUCGCAACAUGAGAUCUGCGAUCUCAUCCACGAUGCUCUCCUCUGGCGGCAAUGUCGUUGUUGCUGCCUUCGAAGGAGCACUCUUCUUUUGUUAGGUUUUCUGGCUUCAAUUUGAGGGUUCGUUGUGCCACCGCUCAUCUUCUCGUCACCAGAAGCAACACAUCAUUGCUGUCUUCGGUGGAGCUUCUGCUAUCUGGUAUAAUCUGAGAUCGCACAUCGGAGGGAGAGGAAAAGGAGAACCAGAGUGAGUUCAUCUCAAACCCUAGAGCUUGUCGCCGCCAUCGUCACCACCAUUCAUCUCAUUUCAGCCGCUUCCAUCAACCUUCUGUGUUCGAGUGAAGGCGCCUCUAUCGACGCGUUUCCAAAUCUGGUCACUACGCCAUAGCUUAUGAGAUUGAGUGAAGCACCUAUUUCAUUAAUGUGUCUCCUCUGCCAGCGGCGCCGGUACGUUCUCACUUAUGCAUUCUCUUCUUCUUCAAUCCACUCAACAUUGCUCGUAGUGUGUUUCUGUUCGUUCUCAAUUUCUAUUUGUUUUCUCUUUCUCUUCUUGUUCAUUCUCAGUUGCUUAUUUUCUAACUGUAUUUCAGUUCAGUAUUGUUAUGCUUGCCAUGUGGUUGAUGAAUUUCUUGAGAGAGAUGAAAAAGAUUAAAACUUGUUUUCUGUUAUAGAUGAUGAUUCUUUGGUGUUUAUUAUUAUAACUACUGCAUGUUCAUCAUUGUGAAAUUUUGAAAUUUAAAACUAGCUUAGCUUCCAGAAAGGACAUGCUUUCUUUGUUUUCUUUAUAUAGAGUAAUGGUGAAAAGAAAAUUGUUCAUUGUGAGGGGAACAUAUAUUGAACUUAUAAGAGGCUCCUCUUCUAAUUGAUAAGCUAAUUGAUUCAAGUGUUUGUGUCUUCAAAAAUUGAUUUAUAAAAAAGGCUAUUUUGGUAUUUGUUAGUUCAAGCUAAGGACCAGCCUGUGUAAUAUUUUCAUGUUCUUGUUAUGCUUUGGCAUUUUUUGGAGUUGAUGAAAGUGCCAAGAGUGGAGGCAAAAUUAAGAGUGUUCUCUUUCAAGAUUCAGUUUGGGACUCAGACUUCAAGAGGAGUUUAAACACUGUGAACUCUGCCUGUGAAGAGAUGUUACAAUUUUAGUGGUCUUGAUAUGCCAUGCAAACUAAAGAUCUAAUUUUUUGAGAAGAGGGUGUUUUGAAAGGUCUCUGUGAAGAGAGACACAAUUCAAACUGUGACAAGUUUUGCCAAACGGAAUAAAUUGCCUGUUCUCAUGCAAGAACAGAUGAUUGCACAUUUGCAUAUGAAGUACAGAACUGAUAUAGAAGGGUUACAGCAGCAAGAGAUUAUCGAAUUACUCCCGAAAGCUAUUCGUUCAGAACUGAUAUAGAAGGGUUGCAUAUGAAGUACAGAAUUGAUAUAGAUAUAGUGGUAUUAUUAUUGUGUCUAAUAAUGUUGUUGCAUGAUGCACAAAUUUUAAUGCAGAUGUAUCGGACAGUGAAAACUAUAGAUAGAGCAGCGGCUUCUUCAGGUACUUGGCAACAUGUAUCAAAGCAAAUUACUAGAAGUGAUUAGGUGAGCCAUAUAACUCAUGUUUUUGAGAGGCAAGCUGAUGGAAGUGUGCCUGGGAAUAUGGAUAUAUGCAUUUUUUCUUUUCCCAUUUCCCCUUUUUAUAUUGUCAACUGUUAGAUUUUAUGUAUGGAUAUAUUCAUAAUCAUAUUGCUCCUGCAGAUCAAAUCCUUUGAUUUUUUUCACUGGCCACUAUGUUAUAUACAUGGAUAUAUAAACAAGAUUACUGUUUGGCUGUUCUUAAUUCUCAUUU